UAGUGAAUCUGGUAACCAGAUUUUAGUUGUAACUGAGCAGUGUAGGUGAAAGAUGUGUCGAUGAAAUGUAGCCUUUUAUACCUUCAGUCUACCAUAUUUGUUUACAUGUAUUUUGUAGACCUCUUUCGAACUCUGUAUUAAUUUCAAAAUACUUAUCCUCGAAAUCAACUGUAAAAACUAAAUUAAAGUGACACUGAAAAAGAUGUGCUUCGAAAGAGUCAAAAAGCGUAUAUGUUUUGUGUUCAACAAUUUUUUUAAACGGCUAUUUAUAUCUAUUUUCUAGUGACUGUUGGUAAAAGAGCUUGUCUUUGGAUCAAUGAUUUACUAAUGGAUCUAAAGAAUUUCGAACGUGUCCGAAAUGACUUGAGAUUUAGAGGGUGUAAAGGAACAACUGGUACUCAAGCGUCAUUUCUUCAACUGUUUAACAAGUCAAAUUGUUUAUGGUCAAACGUGUUCUCGCAAGGUUGAUGUUGAGGUCUUGGGUGCCUUAGCUGGUCUAGGUUCAACAAUUCAUAACCUUUUGCUGUUCAUUAGCCAGAACUCACCUAUUAUCUCAAAAACAGGAAAUAUGCUUACGAAUAUACUGGAGACGUUCUUACCAAAAUCCCAUCCAGUUCGAGCUUAUACUCUGGUACUCUUAACAUCAAGAGACUUUAAGUUUCUUGAAAAAAAAUCCCAUUCAAUUCUUUUAAUCAAAAAACCCUUGGUCUGACAAAAUGAGAUAGCUGAUAGAUGAAAUGAAAAAUAGAAUGCCAAUGUUGCUGUUUCCUAAUAUACGCAAUUAAUUAUACUCAAUACUAAUCUACAUCAAUUGAUUAAUUCUGCAAUUGAAUAUAUGUAAUCAAAUAUGUAUCGGUAUUGUAACAUGUCUUUAUGCGUUGAAUUUGUAUAUUGCUUGGUGAUACAUGUUUUUGGUCUGCACAGUGAAAGUGACCUUUCGGUAACUGUUAGAGCAUAAAAUGAGCCACCCCAUGGUGCUCCCAAUGUAAUGAUAGCAAAAACUUUGUAAUUGAUUAUAAUCAAGUUUUCUCUAUCAUUACCUUGGGAGCACCAUGGGGUGACUCAUUUUAUGCUUUAAAAGCACUUCCAUCUGGUGGUGCUAUGGGAAUAGCUUUUAGCUUUGAUCAAGCAUUGGCCAUGAUUUAACUGGAUGGGGUGAUGGAACAGUUACCGAUAGGUCACUUUCGUUGUACAGCCCAAAGACAUAUAUCACCAACCAAUAUACAAAUUCAACGCAUAAAGAAAUGUUACAAUACCCAAACAUAUAUUCAAUUGCAGAAUUAAUUGAUUAAUACACUUAAUUUUUGAAAAUAACAAUAAUAAUAAUAAAAUACAAUUAAUAACCACAA